rnacentral:rRNA from 1 species
AUUGAACGCUGGCGGCAGGCUUAACACAUGCAAGUCGAGCGGGGACUUCGGUCCUAGCGGCGAACGGGUGAGGAAUGCUUGGGAAUCUGCCCAGUAGCGGGGGAUAACGUUUCGAAAGGAACGCUAAUACCGCAUACGCCCUACGGGGGAAAGGGGGGGAUCUUCGGACCUCUCACCAUUGGAUGAGCCCAAGUCGGAUUAGCUAGUUGGUGGGGUAAAGGCCUACCAAGGCGACGAUCCGUAGCUGGUCUGAGAGGAUGAUCAGCCACACUGGAACUGAGACACGGUCCAGACUCCUACGGGAGGCAGCAGUGGGGAAUAUUGGACAAUGGGCGAAAGCCUGAUUCAGCCAUGCCGCGUGUGUGAAGAAGGCCUUCGGGUUGUAAAGCACUUUAAGCGAGGAGGAAUGGCUGAGGGUUAAUAACCUUCAGCAGUGACGUUACUCGCAAAAUAAGCACCGGCUAACUCUGUGCCAGCCGCCGCUGUAACAC